GGGCUUUUAACAACAGCAAUGGAAUACCUCAAACUUUUAGGGUCUGAGGAAUUGUCUCCUGAACUUAUAAUCUUACGAGAUCGUAUUGCCCUCUCCACAGAACCUGAUAAAGAUGCCAAGACUACGGCUUUUGAAAAUUCUCAACAGCAAGGUGGGUUACUAUAUCCUGAACAAUCUAGUUUUGGUGUGUCUGACGCCUCCCAGCACUAUUAUCCGGAAACGGCACCAUCACAAGUUCUUCAAAGCGUUCCUAGCAGUCCAUACAGUGAAAAUUAUCAACAAACUCUUGGUCCUUC
rnacentral:misc_RNA from 1 species